GACGAACGCUGCCGGCGUGCUAACCACUUGCAAUUCAACCGGAAAGGCCCUCCUUUUUUGGGUUGCUCGGGUGGCGACCGGUUGGUUAACCCUUGAUUACCCUCCCUUUGACUUUGGGAUAACUUCAGGAACCUGGGGCUAAUACCGAAUAGAACCUCCUGCUCCAUGUUGGGGGUUGUAAGUUUUCGGCGGUUGGGGAUGGACUCGCGGCUUAUCAGCUUGUUGGUGGGGUAGUGGCUUACCAAGGCUUUGACGGGUAGCCGGCCUGAGAGGGUGACCGGCCACAUUGGGACUGAGAUACGGCCCAGACUCCUACGGGAGGCAGCAGUGGGGAAUAUUGCACAAUGGGCGGAAGCCUGAUGCAGCAACGCCGCGUGCGGGAUGACGGCCUUCGGGUUGUAAACCGCUUUCGCCUGUGACGAAGCGUGAGUGACGGUAAUGGGUAAAGAAGCACCGGCUAACUACGUG
rnacentral:rRNA from 1 species